UCUCCUCCUUCACUCUUAUUUUACUAUAUAUAUUAGAAACAAACACCUUCUCUCUCUUUACUUUUUGUAAUAAUGAUACAUUUUAAUGAUAAAUUAUUAUAUAAGAAAUGUUGUUGGAGAUGAGAAUAGCUAUUGAUAUCUUAAGUUACUGGGAUCCAAUAAUUUAUAUUAAAUUUGAGGAAUGAACUAAGAUGUUGUUGGAGUUGUUCUUAUAGUCAUAUGGCUAGUUUCUUCCGGGCGACAUAUUUCUUAGUGUUCACUUUGUUUUUUAAUGUCUUCCUUGAAAAGGUGAUGACCGAUUAAUAGCUCUGCAAGUUCCGCCUUCUGCGGCUUGCGUACAUCACCCUGUAAAUUGACUGUUCACCUGAAUUUGGAAACUGUUACCAGCCAGAAUAUGUUUAUAUGAGCUGCUAGCGUGCUACACACCCAUGUUUACUGAGCAAAUCAAGGCUGGGAAGACCUGACAAACUUCCCAAACUAUAGGAUCGUCCGUGAACUUACUACCAAUUAGUGAUAAAUUCGUGAGUGAAUCUAGCAAAAAACGUAAUUCUGAUUGGUCUUGUAUUUUACCAAUCAAGACAAGCUUUGUGAGACGUCUGCAUGACGAAAGAGGUUUGGCUUUUGAUAGACUUGUUAAAUUUUCUGCUGAA